rnacentral:rRNA from 1 species
UACGUAGGGUGCAAGCGUUAAUCGGAAUUACUGGGCGUAAAGCGUGCGCAGGCGGCUUUGCAAGACAGGUGUGAAAUCCCCGGGCUUAACCUGGGAACUGCAUUUGUGACUGCAUGGCUGGAGUGCGGCAGAGGGGGAUGGAAUUCCGCGUGUAGCAGUGAAAUGCGUAGAUAUGCGGAGGAACACCGAUGGCGAAGGCAAUCCCCUGGGCCUGCACUGACGCUCAUGCACGAAAGCGUGGGGAGCAAACAAG